GUAGUUUGACUCCGUGGCUACAGAACGACGCUGGCGGCAGGCUUAACACAUGCAAGUCGAGCGCCCCGCAAGGGGAGCGGCAGACGGGUGAGUAACGCGUGGGAACGUACCAUUUGCUACGGAAUAACUCAGGGAAACUUGUGCUAAUACCGUAUGAGCCCGAAAGGGGAAAGAUUUAUCGGCAAAUGAUCGGCCCGCGUUGGAUUAGCUAGUUGGUGGGGUAAAGGCCUACCAAGGCGACGAUCCAUAGCUGGUCUGAGAGGAUGAUCAGCCACACUGGGACUGAGACACGGCCCAGACUCCUACGGGAGGCAGCAGUGGGGAAUAUUGGGCAAUGGGCGCAAGCCUGAUCCAGCCAUGCCGCGUGAGUGAUGAAGGCCCUAGGGUUGUAAAGCUCUUUCACCGGUGAAGAUAAUGACGGUAACCGGAGAAGAAGCCCCGGCUAACUUCGUG
rnacentral:rRNA from 1 species